rnacentral:rRNA from 1 species
AGAGUUUGAUCCUGGCUCAGGAUGAACGCUAGCUACAGGCUUAACACAUGCAAGUCGAGGGGCAGCAUGAACUUAGCUUGCUAAGUUUGAUGGCGACCGGCGCACGGGUGAGUAACACGUAUCCAACCUGCCGAUGACUCGGGGAUAGCCUUUCGAAAGAAAGAUUAAUACCCGAUGGCAUAAUUCUUCCGCAUGGUAGAAUUAUUAAAGAAUUUCGGUCAUCGAUGGGGAUGCGUUCCAUUAGGUUGUUGGCGGGGUAACGGCCCACCAAGCCUUCGAUGGAUAGGGGUUCUGAGAGGAAGGUCCCCCACAUUGGAACUGAGACACGGUCCAAACUCCUACGGGAGGCAGCAGUGAGGAAUAUUGGUCAAUGGACGAGAGUCUGAACCAGCCAAGUAGCGUGAAGGAUGACUGCCCUAUGGGUUGUAAACUUCUUUUAUAAAGGAAUAAAGUCGGGUAUGCAUACCCGUUUGCAUGUACUUUAUGAAUAAGGAUCGGCUAACUCCGUGCCAGCAGCCGCGGUAAUACGGAGGAUCCGAGCGUUAUCCGGAUUUAUUGGGUUUAAAGGGAGCGUAGGCGGACGCUUAAGUCAGUUGUGAAAGUUUGCGGCUCAACCGUAAAAUUGCAGUUGAUACUGGGUGUCUUGAGUACAGUAGAGGCAGGCGGAAUUCGUGGUGUAGCGGUGAAAUGCUUAGAUAUCACGAAGAACUCCGAUUGCGAAGGCAGCUCACUGGACUGCAACUGACGCUGAUGCUCGAAAGUGUGGGUAUCAAACAGGAUUAGAUACCCUGGUAGUCCACACAGUAAACGAUGAAUACUCGCUGUUUGCGAUAUACAGUAAGCGGCCAAGCGAAAGCGUUAAGUAUUCCACCUGGGGAGUACGCCGGCAACGGUGAAACU